rnacentral:rRNA from 1 species
GGAUGCGAUCAUACCAGCACUAAAGCACCGGAUCCCAUCAGAACUCCGAAGUUAAGCGUGCUUGGGUGAGAGUAGUACUAGGAUGGGUGACCUCCUGGGAAGUCCUCGUGUUGCAUUUC